rnacentral:rRNA from 1 species
UAUGGAUCUCAGAUUAAGUAAGACUACCCGCUGAAUUUAAGCAUAUUAAUAAGCGGAGGAAAGGAAACUAACAAAGGAUUCCCCUAGUAACGGCGAGUGAAGCGGGAUGAGCUCACCAUGUGAAUCUAUGUAACCGGGUGCUGAAAAGUUCCGGUGCAUCGAAUUGUGGUCUGGAGAAGUCUUGUCGGCCGUUGUUCCGGGCCAAGUCUCUUGGAAAAGGGCAGCUGAGAGGGUGAGACUCCCGUUCUUGCCUGGGAAUCGAUGUGUCAUAGCAUGCGCCUUCUACGAGUCGAGUUGCUUGGGAUUGCAGCUCAAAGCGGGUGGUAAAUUCCAUCUAAAGCUAAAUAUCGGUGGGAGACCGAUAGCGUACAAGUACCGUGAGGGAAAGAUGCAAAGAACUUUGAAAAGAGAGUUAAAGAGUACCUGAAAUUGCUGAAAGGGAAGCGAAGGAAACCAGUGUCGUGCGCGAUUAUAUUUCUCCUGCUGCUUGCGGUAGGGGCGCUGUGGUCGUGCGUGGGCCAGCAUCGGUUUGGUAGCUCGGGGCAGAUGGCAGUGCGGGAGGUAGUCUGUUGCUUGCGGCAGAUGUUUAACCGCAUUGUUUUGUUUUCCUGGGUGAGACCGAGGUCAGUCUAGCAAUAGCUCGUGAUGCUGGCGAAAUGGUUUUCUUUACCCCGUCUUGAAACACGGACCAAGGAGUCUAA